UCUCAGUGCAAGCCGUCCCGUACGGUGAAACCGCGAAAGGCUCAGUAAAUCAGUUAUGGUUCCUUAGAUUGUACCCACAUUUGUGUUACUUGGAUAACUGUGGUAAUUCUAGAGCUAAUACAUGCCGACAGAGUUCCGACCAGCGCCGGGUGUAUUAGGCUUCGCGCCGACGCCUGGUGUUCGGAAGGAACGCUCUUAUUAGAUCAAAACCGGCCAAACAGUGUAGCGAACGCGUUUUCGAACGCGUUCGCGCUGUAAGCGGCCCGCGCAAAGACUUGACGACUCUGAAUAAUUUCGAGCUGAUCGCACGGUCUUGGUACCGGCGACGUAUCUUUCAAAUGUCUGCCUUAUCAACUGUCGACGGUAGGUUCGAUGCCUACCGUGGUGGUAACGGGUAACGGGGAAUCAGGGUUCGAUUC
rnacentral:rRNA from 1 species